rnacentral:rRNA from 1 species
UGGGGAAUUUUGGACAAUGGGGGCAACCCUGAUCCAGCAAUGCCGCGUGCAGGAAGAAGGCCUUCGGGUUGUAAACUGCUUUUGUCAGGGAAGAAAUCUUCUGGGCUAAUACCUCGGGAGGAUGACGGUACCUGAAGAAUAAGCACCGGCUAACUACGUGCCAGCAGCCGCGGUAAUACGUAGGGUGCGAGCGUUAAUCGGAAUUACUGGGCGUAAAGCGUGCGCAGGCGGUGAUGUAAGACAGAUGUGAAAUCCCCGGGCUCAACCUGGGAACUGCAUUUGUGACUGCAUCGCUGGAGUGCGGCAGAGGGGGAUGGAAUUCCGCGUGUAGCAGUGAAAUGCGUAGAUAUGCGGAGGAACACCGAUGGCGAAGGCAAUCCCCUGGGCCUGCACUGACGCUCAUGCACGAAAGCGUGGGGAGCAAAC